GACGAACGCUGGCGGCGUGCUUAACACAUGCAAGUCGAACGGAAAGGCCCUGCUUUUGUGGGGUGCUCGAGUGGCGAACGGGUGAGUAACACGUGAGUAACCUGCCCUUGACUUUGGGAUAACUUCAGGAAACGGGGGCUAAUACCGGAUAGGAGCUCCUGCUGCAGGGUGGGGGUUGGAAAGUUUCGGCGGUUGGGGAUGGACUCGCGGCUUAUCAGCUUGUUGGUGGGGUAGUGGCUUACCAAGGCUUUGACGGGUAGCCGGCCUGAGAGGGUGACCGGCCACAUUGGGACUGAGAUACGGACCAGACUCCUACGGGAGGCAGAAGUGGGGAAUAUUGCACAAUGGGCGGAAGCCUGAUGCAGCAACGCCGCGUGCGGGAUGACGGCCUUCGGGUUGUAAACCGCUUUCGCCUGUGACGAAGCGUGAGUGACGGUAAUGGGUAAAGAAGCACCGGCUAACUACGUG
rnacentral:rRNA from 1 species